UGCUGGGUGGAUGAGUGGCGAACGGGUGAGUAACACGUGAGUAACCUGCCCCCUUCUUUGGGAUAACGCCCGGAAACGGGUGCUAAUACUGGAUAUUCACUGAUCUUCGCAUGGGGGUUGGUGGAAAGGUUUUUUCUGGUGGGGGAUGGGCUCGCGGCCUAUCAGCUUGUUGGUGGGGUGAUGGCCUACCAAGGCUUUGACGGGUAGCCGGCCUGAGAGGGUGACCGGUCACAUUGGGACUGAGAUACGGCCCAGACUCCUACGGGAGGCAGCAGUGGGGAAUAUUGCACAAUGGGCGAAAGCCUGAUGCAGCGACGCCGCGUGAGGGAUGACGGCCUUCGGGUUGUAAACCUCUUUCGCUCAUGGUCAAAGC
rnacentral:rRNA from 1 species